CCAGGUAAGUGAACUUUGUUAACAUAAUAAAGUUCCAUAUGUGAUUUUAAUAUAUAAUAGUUAAGUUAUUAUGAAUUCCAGGCGCCAUUGGCAGCUUCCACUACAAGAAAAAGAGCAUUUACAUAUAGAUAAUUAUAUACGGAUCUGAAUUCGUAUGUAACAAAACUGUUACAUACGGAUAUUAGAUACNGAGUUAAAAAAAAGUUGAAAAAUUGAACCAUGAAAAUUCUCGAGCCAUCCCAUUGUAAACUUUCCCUCUCGGUUUUCCCUCUGAUCUCUUUCCCUCUCAUCUAUUUCCCUCUCAUCUCUUAUCUUCUCAGGUUUCCCUCAAGAUCUUUUUCCCUCUCGAUCACAAACCAUUGUCUCAUGUUUAUUAAACGAGUUCGUAGGUGUGUGUUCCUUUAAUGAGGGUUUGAGAAAGGGAAUGAAAAAGGGUUUGCGAUCGCAUGACUCAGGGUAGUCGCGUGCCACUAAGGGCCUUUGAUCGGCAGUCGUUUGCACAAUGCUACUUCGAGGAUGAUGACGAAGAGGAGUGCGCAACACGCGACCCACGGCAUGCUUGACGCACAGGGUUGCAAGCCGAAGCACGGAGUGCACUGGUGAUGAUAUGGGAGCCUGAAGCUAGGAGGAACGUCUUAGCACAGAGGCUCUCGAAGCUUUUAGAAGUUCCUCACAUUUCCAUGGCUAUGCUCCUCAGCCAGGACCUCAACCCUCGCUCCUACCUCUAUCACCAAAUAACAAAUGCUUUAGAUCAUGGAAAACUUGUCGUAGAGGAAAAUAUUCUUUUAUGACCAUCACGCUUCGUUCUUUUUUUGCUCGCGGUCACACUAUCAAAGUUCCUUCAUCUGCACAUAACAAUAUGUGGUGUAGUUCAGAAGACAUUGUUCCAUCGUUACCAAAUAUCGAUUAAGGCGAGGGUGUUGCAUUUUGGAAACAUUCGAAGUGGUAGUAAAGUAUGUUUCGGUGAUAUUUUGGACACAAUCGCAGGGCAUUAUCAUGUUUCUCGGUUCUACCGUCGAUCGGGCUUUAGAUCUGGACCAACGCGUCCCAUUGUAAUCACUCUUCUUCUUGAAGUCGUUCAUGGAGGAGAUUUGGACUAGUGCUCUGCUAUCAUAGAAGGCCUUCCCUAUAUGUGAGGAGAUAUCUUUAUCUUGCCCUCGACGUCAAAGGCCCUCACGUUGAAGUAAAUUUGGAUUUUCAAUUUUACUUUCUAUUCUUGCAUCUUUUAGGUUAGUUUCUGCUUCUACUGGGGAUUUCUUGUUUUAUUAAUCUUAGGUUCAAUUGACAUUGUCCUANUAGAGGAAAUUGACAGGGUAGUGUAACUCUUUGAAUUUAACCUAUCUGCUUAUUGCCUACAACUUAUUCAAUGAAAUGUCUGAACUACGGUCACUAUUUAAAUAGUUUAUUAUCAUGUUUAUAUAUAUAUGAAUUUCGGUGGAAAAGGCUUUUCCAAAAGACUGGUUAUCUUUCCUUCACUAGUUCAUUUGAUACAUACAGAUUCUCUUAAUAAAUAUCAUAGAAGGUUGGUGAUGGGUCAUGGUCCUGGUUUAUGCGACUGCUUCUCAAACUGUGGUUCUUGUAUCAACUCAUUUUCCCUCUUCCAUUAUCUUUAACCAUAUCAUAUACUUAGUUUAUUUGUUUCAUAAUUAUCAAACAUAUUAAGCUACCUUCAUUUUAUGCUCUUUAGUCUCUUAUCUGCAGGUUGUCUCACUCUUUGUCCAAUAAGUUCUCGAGGCCUUGAAGUUGUGUUACAGAGUACAUGAACAAAAUCACUUCUGUUAAAGCACAAUUUUGGCUCACUCUUUGUGGGAAAAUUGACCUACUCAGGCAAAAAACAUGUAUGCUUUGAAUAUAAAUCACAAAUUUAUGUUGAUGGAGCUAUUAAAAAUUAACAUGAAAUUUAGUUACAUUGCAUCUGACAUAUAUAUAUAUAUGGCUUAGUUAUGGGAUGAUACAUUUCAACUAAUAUCAACAUCACACAGUCUUUUUAUGCUUUUAAAAUUAAAUUGGAGUAGAGCUUUUUCAUAGGUCAAGGUGCUAAGUUUGGAUACCUUGCCUUCAAUUCUUACAUCUUCUCCUUUACUUUACCUUAUGAUUCUAACUUGCUUAUGUUUUAUGAUGCAGGUGCUGCUGGGAAUAAUGAUUAUAAGUCCUCUUGAUUAAGUUUAUUUAAUUUUUCCACUCUGAUUGAUUUGAUUUUGAAUGGUUGUGUGCCUGUGAGAUUUGUGUUACAUGAAACAAGCUCUUGCUUUAUGUGUGGUGGUCACCUAGCUUCUGGGAGAGGGGCUCGUGAGAGGCACAAAAACUAAUUUUCUUUAAAUAUUUUCAAGGACAUUAAAUGCAUUANGGGAGCUCAAAUAGUCCAUGCAUCUGAACCAAGCCAUGGUUAUUUAAGGUACGACUAAACAUACCCU